rnacentral:sRNA from 1 species
CCAUUUGUCCUCGAGAUAGCUUGGCACUUUUGUGCCAGUGGAUACAGUCUAAAUUGCAGGAGUAUAUGUUUAAUAGACCAUACAGCAGAAAAUUGGAGGCCGAAGCUGACAAAAUUGGACUACUGCUUGCUGCAAAGGCUUGUGCAGACAUAAGAGCCAGUUCAGUGUUUUGGCAGCAAAUGGAGUUUGUUGAUAGCCUGCAUGGCCAACCCAAGAUGCCAGAAUGGUUAUCUACACACCCUUCUCAUGGCAAUCGAGUUGAGCACUUGGAUAGACUUAUACCUCAGGAUAUGCAUGUAUCCCCAAGGGCAGCCAGGGACUUUAAAAGAGCCCAGUGGAACCUACACCUAAGUGGAAAUGGAAUUCUUUCCUUUUAUUAAAACCUUCAG